AUUGAACGCUGGCGGAAUGCUUUACACAUGCAAGUCGAGCGGCAGCGCGGGGCAACCUGGCGGCGAGCGGCGAACGGGUGAGUAAUACAUCGGAACGUGCCCAGACGUGGGGGAUAACUACUCGAAAGAGUGGCUAAUACCGCAUAUGAUCUAAGGAUGAAAGCGGGGGAUCGCAAGACCUCGCGCGUUUGGAGCGGCCGAUGGCAGAUUAGGUAGUUGGUGGGGUAAAGGCUUACCAAGCCUGCGAUCUGUAGCUGGUCUGAGAGGACGACCAGCCACACUGGGACUGAGACACGGCCCAGACUCCUACGGGAGGCAGCAGUGGGGAAUUUUGGACAAUGGGCGAAAGCCUGAUCCAGCCAUUCCGCGUGCAGGAUGAAGGCCCUCGGGUUGUAAACUGCUUUUGUACAGAACGAAAAGCUCUGGUUAAUACCUGGAGUCCAUGACGGUACUGUAAGAAUAAGCAACCGGCUAACUACGUGCCAGCAGACCG
rnacentral:rRNA from 1 species